GUUUUUCAAGGCUAGCGGCUGUGCGGCGACAACGGAAUGUCAACGUCAGGCUGUGCUCUGGUCAUCGUGGCGUUGUUAUGCUUGCGGAUGUCGGCAGCCGGGUAUCGCCGCUACAGUCAUGGAGGCCAUGGAGUUUAUGUGCGCAAGACCAGCGAUAGUGACUAUAGACGUGGUCAUGGUCAUGACCACGACUACAAGACCCACGUAAUUAAGGGUCCUACGUUUCUCGUAAAGACUAUUCACCAUAUCAGAAAAAUUCACCCCGGAGGCGGCAACCAGGGUCACUACAGCCACGGGCAUGGUCAUGGUGAAGGACAUGAAGGAUACGACAAAGUUAUUGUCAUCAAGAGAGGACACGGCCAUGGUCAAGAACAUGGUCAUGGCAAUGGACACGGUGGGGGCCUUGGUGGGGAUCAUGGUGCCUAUGGUGACUGGUGGUGAAGCGCAUUUCACUUUUCAACAUGCCUCUCGUAUACCAAAGAUGUGUUUUAACCACCAUGUUGAAAAUGGGCACACUGAAAUUAGGUCGCUGAAACUUCUGUACCUAAAUUUACAUCACUUUAAAGAAGUUAACGCUUUCAGCAGUUCGUCACAUGGAAACGCAUGUUCCUCCUGAACGCAGAGCUGGACCUCUGUACUUGUACAUAUUAUUUAAAUAAAAUUUUGAACAUCCAU